rnacentral:tRNA from 1 species
GGGGAUUUAGCUCAGUGGUAGAGCGCUUGCCUAGCAAGCACAAGGCCCUGAGUUCGGUUCCCAGCUCCA